UCCGAUAUGGUCUAGUGGCUAGGAUUUGCCGCUCUCAUUCUACAAAGAGUUGAACCACUCCUCGGGGUGCCGGCAAGGCCCGGGUUCGAUUCCCGGUGUCGGAA